rnacentral:rRNA from 1 species
UGAGGAAUAUUGGUCAAUGGGCGCAAGCCUGAACCAGCCAUCCCGCGUGAAGGAAGACGGCCCUAUGGGUUGUAAACUUCUUUUGUACAUGAAGAAAGGGACCUACGGGUAGGUUCGUGACGGUAAUGUACGAAUAAGCAUCGGCUAACUCCGUGCCAGCAGCCGCGGUAAUACGGAGGAUGCGAGCGUUAUCCGGAUUCAUUGGGUUUAAAGGGUACGUAGGUGGCCCGGUAAGUCAGUGGUGAAAACCUGCCGCUUAACGGUAGGCGUGCCAUUGAUACUGUCGGGCUUGAGUGCAGUUGAGGCAGGCGGAAUGUGUAGUGUAGCGGUGAAAUGCAUAGAUAUUACACAGAACUCCGAUUGCGAAGGCAGCUUGCUAAAGUGCAACUGACGCUGAUGUACGAAAGCGUGGGUAGCGAACAG